rnacentral:misc_RNA from 1 species
GGAUCAUAGUCAUAAGCAUCACCAUCCUUGACAAACCGUCCUUUUACACGUCUUCUUACUUCUGCUCUUGCCUUGCGAGAAACAUAUCUCACUCGUUUGUCAAAUUGACGUGUCUUCUUCUUUUCCUUGUAGCGCGAUACAGCAUCACUCCUGCUAGUUGAUGGCAUUGAACUUUCAGGACAUGGCGGAUGCCAGGAUGGCUCUCCCAUGCGAAGCAUUGAGGAAGCUCCACAGUCUUGACAAUCUCCAGCAUUGCUCUCUCCCGUGAGGUUUGAAAAUGAGAAACUGGAUUGUUGCAUUGCAAAGCAAAGGGUAGGAGGUUCUGUCUUACAGCUCAUCAUUGAUUCUGCCGAUGCUGCAUUGCUACAAGCUGACUUCAC